GAUGAACGCUGGCGGCGUGCCUAAUACAUGCAAGUCGAGCGGUAACAGAACUAGCUUGCUAGUUGCUGACGAGCGGCGGACGGCUGAGUAACGCGUGGGAACGGACCCCAAACUGAGGGAUAACUACUCGAAAGAGUUGCUAAUACCGCAUGUGAUCUUCGGAUUAAAGGAUUUAUCCGGUUUGGGACUGGCCUGCGUACGAUUAGAUAGUUGGUGAGGUAAUGGCUUACCAAGUCGACGAUCGUUAGAUGGUUUGAGAGGAUGAUCAUCCAGACUGGGACUGAGACACGGCCCAGACUCC
rnacentral:rRNA from 1 species